AGCUUGCUCUUAUGAUUAGUGGCGCACGGGUGAGUAAUAGUAUAGGUAAUGUACCCUUAGUCUGGGAUAGCACUGAAACGGUGAUUAAUACCGGAUGCUCCUUUCAUUUCAAGAUGAAUCGGGAAAGUUUUCGCUAAGAGAUCGGCCUAUAUCCUAUCAGCUAGUUGGUGAGGUAAUGGCUCACCAAGGCAAUGACAGGUAGCGGGUUUGAGAGGAUGAUCCGCCACACUGGUACUGAGACACGGACCAGACUCC
rnacentral:rRNA from 1 species